rnacentral:misc_RNA from 1 species
AAGUCGUAACAAGGUAUCCGUAGGUGAACCUGCGGAUGGAUCAUUAAAAGAUUAUAUUUGAAGGUAGUGUGAACUGGUUAUUAUCACAAAUCAUUUGUCAACUUGUAUACUUUUACUACUAAAUUCAAACGUGUCAUUGUACACAAACAAAAGUUAUACAACUUUUAGCAAUGGAUCUCUUGGCUCUC